CAGAAAAUAAGCUUAUUUGGCCUCAGUAGUAAUAGUUAUGUUCUCAAAAUUUCGAAAAAUUUGGCGGUGAUUUAGUCUAGUCAGAGGAACCUGUUUUUGAAUCGAUAAACCACGAAUAAUCUUGCUCGAAUUUGUAGAGUAUGUAUACCAUCAUUAUUAGGUAAUUUUUAUAGAACUAAUUGCUGAAAUUUUUAAUAAUGUUAAAUAUAUUACAUCAAGGUGCCGCUUAUGUUUGAGUUUGGAUGGGUUACACAAAAAUUUGUUUCUCUGACAGAGGGAAAUUACAUAUUAUUUUUGGGGAGGGGGUGAGUGUAAAAAAAACUUCUUACGCGUAUAUUAAAUAAUAUCUGGAAAAUCUGGACACCCCCCCCGAAACCCAAAAA
rnacentral:rRNA from 1 species